rnacentral:tRNA from 1 species
GAAGGGAUGGCUCAGUGAUGGAGCAUUCGACUGCUGAUCGAGUGGUCCCGGUUCAAAUCCGGAUUUUUUCU